AAGGGCGGAGCGUGGUCUGGUAGGGCGGGAUUAGUCACAUGGGCGGGGCUACGCACACCACAGGCCACGCCCCUACCGCUUCUCUUGCCUGUGGCCUGAGGUUCUCCUGCAAAGUCCCAGUUUUGCAGGCUGGUACAGACCAGCUCAGUGGCUUGCUUUCAGUGGAGCAGGUACUGCAGGAGCUGAAGUGCCCAGCUAGGGCCCUGCUAACCAAUGUCCCUAGCUUAAGGUUACACAGAAUUAGUCGGAUUCCCGUUCAUCGUUAGGCGCCACACAAAGGAUCCCAGUGAAACCUCAUCCUUUGAGGCUUGAGUGUGGAACAGUGUGUGAAAUGGAGAAAAUGAUGUGCACAAAUAACUGUUGGGCCCCUUUAGCAUAUAGUUUGGCCUCCAGAAGGUGUAGCCCUGAUUAAAGGUGUAAACCACACCUGGAUCUGGGACUUGCUUUGUCCCAGGCUGAUCUUAAACUUAGAGAUCUCCUUAAGUCUCCUGGGAUUAAAGGCAUGUACUACCUUGCCUGGGCCUUUUCAUGGCCACUGUGCCUCAAGAUCUCCGUGCCAAGAUCCAGGUCAGAAAUUUGUGUCUUCGAACCUCAAGAUCUGGAUCACAGGACCAUUGCCCAUGGGGGUGAUAAUGUGCACAUUCAAGGAGGGGCUUUCUUUUCAUUUAAACCUCUCUGGAAACACCCCGAAGACAAGCUCAGAGGUCCACAAAGAGAAAGGACAUUGUCAUUUGUUGAUUCUUACAAACCUAGAUAUUUUUAAAAGUCUCCCUGGGUUGGAGAGAUGACUCAGCGGUUAAGAGAACAGACUGCUCUUCCAAAGGUCCUGAGUUCAAAUCCCAGCAACCACAUGAUGGCUCACAAUCACCUGGGAUGAGAUCCGAUGCCUUCUUCUGGUGUGUCUCAAGACAGCUACCGUGUACUUAUAUAGGAUGAAUAAAAAAAGUCUUUUAAAAA